rnacentral:rRNA from 1 species
CAGGAUAAACGCUGGCGGCGUGCUUAACACAUGCAAGUCGAACGAAGUUUUUCUUUCGGGAGGAACUUAGUGGCGGACGGGUGAGUAACGCGUGGGUAACCUGCCCUGUACAGGGGGACAACAGCUGGAAACGGCUGCUAAUACCGCAUAAGCCCUUAGCACUGCAUGGUGCAUAGGGAAAAGGAGCAAUCCGGUACAGGAUGGACCCGCGUCUGAUUAGCCAGUUGGCAGGGUAACGGCCUACCAAAGCGACGAUCAGUAGCCGAUCUGAGAGGAUGUACGGCCACAUUGGGACUGAGACACGGCCCAGACUCCUACGGGAGGCAGCAGUGGGGAAUAUUGCACAAAUGGAGGAAACUCUGAUGCAGCGACGCCGCGUGAGUGAAGAAGUAUUUCGGUAUGUAAAGCUCUAUCAGCAGGGAAGAAAAUAGACGGUACCUGACUAAGAAGCACCGGCUAAAUAACGUGCCAGCAGCCGCGGUAAUACGUAUGGUGCAAGCGUUAUCCGG